rnacentral:rRNA from 1 species
GAGCAGCGAACGGGUGAGUAACGCGUGGGGAAUCUGCCUUUGAGCGGGGGACAACAUUUGGAAACGAAUGCUAAUACCGCAUAAAAACUUUAAACACAAGUUUUAAGUUUGAAAGAUGCAAUUGCAUCACUCAAAGAUGAUCCCGCGUUGUAUUAACUAGUUGGUGAGGUAAAGGCUCACCAAGGCGAUGAUACAUAGCCGACCUGAGAGGGUGAUCGGCCACAUUGGGACUGAGACACGGCCCAAACUCCUACGGGAGGCAGCAGUAGGGAAUCUUCGGCAAUGGACGAAAGUCUGACCGAGCAACGCCGCGUGAGUGAAGAAGGUUUUCGGAUCGUAAAACUCUGUUGGUAGAGAAGAACGUUGGUGAGAGUGGAAAGCUCAUCAAGUGACGGUAACUACCCAGAAAGGGACGGCUAACUACGUGCCAGCAGCCGCGGUAAUACGUAGGUCCCGAGCGUUGUCCGGAUUUAUUGGGCGUAAAGCGAGCGCAGGUGGUUUAUUAAGUCUGGUGUAAAAGGCAGUGGCUCAACC